CUUGGUCAUUUAGAGGAAGUAAAAGUCGUAACAAGGUUUCCGUAGGUGAACCUGCGGAAGGAUCAUUAACAAGUCUGCUGUCCGUUCUUGUACUAGCGUGGAAGUAUUCCUUCUGCGUCAUGUGCAAGGAUGACAUUUGUUCCAUGUUGCACGUUUACUCUGCACAUGACAUUCUACGAAUCAUCUGAUCAUCGACAAUGCUCAUAAACAAAUAACUUUCAACAACGGAUCUCUUGGCUCUCGCAUCGAUGAAGAACGCAGCGAAAUGCGAUAAGUAAUGUGAAUUGCAGAAUUCAGUGAAUCAUCGAAUCUUUGAACGCACAUUGCGCCCCUUGGUAUUCCGAGGGGCAUGCCUGUUCGAGCGUCAUUAUGACCACUCAAGCCUAGCUUGGUAUUGGGGUUCGCGUGCUCGCGGCCCUUAAAAUCAGUGGCGGUGCCGUCUGGCUCUAAGCGUAGUAAAUCUCUCGCUAUUGAGUCCCGGCGGUUGCUUGCCAAAACCCCCCACUUUCUUAGGUUGACCUCGGAUCAGGUAGGGAUACCCGCUGAACUUAAGCAUAUCAAUAAGCGGAGGA
rnacentral:rRNA from 1 species